UGUGCUUUGUAGGACCUCAGAAAUUCUGAAGACCAAAAAAAAAGGUAAUACUGCGGAGAGUUUUCCGAUUUAAUAUCAUGUUUAUUUAUUCAAUGGUGUUUUUACAGUGAAAUUUUACCGUCUACAACCUUGGUCAGUAGGCAAUUUUUCACAUUAGCGCACGAUUUCAGUGUAAAAUCAGCUUUUUGGUAUAAAAUCGAGGUCUAAACCUCAAAAUCACAAUUUCGUCACAAGAUUGACAUAAGGGACCAUUUAAAAUGGAUGCAAUUCACCCAAAUUUUGGCAAUAAUGUUUCUUUACCCAGUGGCAUCGAUUGCCACAUGGAAAGAGUGACAUCUCAAAUUUUCAUUUUUUUGAUGCACCCUCGGGUAACAUCUGUCCAGGAGCCGCGCUAAUGAAUAUCUGGUCAGCUGAGCCGAGACAAGCCACGCCGCAACAUAUCAGUGUGUUUACUGCUUUAAGGGACAUUAUUUGUUUUUGCUCUAGCUGAAGUUUGCAAGAGAGUGUUUCUUUAAUAAUUUAUUGCUGUCCAUAAUUUCUUCCUUGACGAGUUGUCGCAUACUCUCAAAAAGUGAGCACCGGUAAUGGUAGGGUUUGUAAUUUUUUUUACCUGAGAUUAAAAAAUUAUACAUUCCGAAACAACAUAUUCCCAAAAUAUGAUUCAUGAGUGAGGUUGUUGAUAUAACAUUAAAUACAACUAGAGACCCAGCAGGGUGACAACCAAAAUUCAUUAGUAUAACUUUUUAGUACAUCGAUAAAAAAAAUCUGCAACUGAUGAGGAGAGAGCUUUAAGCAAUUUUUUACCUUAGCAGCAAAACUAACAUCGGCUCCUUUUUGGAUUAAUAGGGUUGCUAUGUUUGUAUUCCCAUAAUGUGCCGCAAUGUGAAGAGGUGUAAAACCGCUUUUAGAUGUGAUGUCUGGAUUGUGAUCAUUCUAAAAUCAACAUGGAAAAAAAAUAAUGAAAUCAACAGCAAAACUGGACACUUGUCGCAUUGACGACUCUUCCUUGGAUUUUGCGGGGACCCGACUAGGCGAAUCCAUCCAUCCAUCCAUCCAUCCAUCCAUCCUCCAAUCCCUGUGGAAUUUCUCUUGGAAAAUCAACCUCUGGAAUAAGAUCGAAAUGGAAGCUUUGAACAAUCACGUUCUGUAUACCCCGACGAAGACAACGCAAUUGGUCCACUCCAAGGAUUUAGUGAAGGACAACGUUACCUUCUACGAAAGAUGCUACGCGUUGAUAUGAAAUAUGGGGCGAGCUUCCUGGCCCUCAUCACCAUCGGUGAUGAGAAGUGCAAGGUCUACCUACCGAAAUCCUACAACGCAGCAAUCUCUGAUGUGGAUCUAGAGGAGCUCAACUCGAGAAGACUCGACUUGGUCAUGGUAGAUCGUCACUUUGCAACUUUUUCAAAUUUGAAGUCGUGGACAGCCUUGACGAACCGGAGUCAGAAGCCCAAGCUUCGUCUAAACCGAGCUGGAAAGAAACUCGUCUCAUUUUGAGAUUUAAGUGUGUAACUUUUCAUGAUUUUAUUCUGAUUGUAAUAUGUUCAACAGUUCGAUUAAUAAACAUUAGAUCGAUCUUAACAAAAUCUUAUCAUUCCAGUUUUCCACCACCUCCCUCCCUCCUACUUUCUAAGGUUAGUAUUGUCAGAGCAUGUUUGACUCUUACGAUGCCACCCUCCUCCCUAUCUCAAUUAUAUGAUGAGGGGAAAAGAAAGAAGAUGGAUUUAUAGUUUUGAAUUUAUUGAAUAAAUAAGAAAUUCUUAAAAGAGAAUUCAAUUUCCAAAGAUUUAUUCGAAAGAAUACAAAGUAUAAAACAUUUGAAUCUUGAAUGAAAUUACGAAUUCAAAGGAAACUUAAUUUUGACAAAAGAAUUGUUCACUCUUAUGAAACGAAUCAAACUUUAAAAACUGAAGAAAUGCAAAGAAUCAAUAAUGACAUGCCAUUAAUUCUAGAUUUAAAAUAGGAAAUAAAAAAAUGAGAGGAAAAGAGCUGCACUAAAUCGAUGGUUUACUCUACAAUUUACUCGGAAUCGAGUGUCUAAAAGAAUACAUUUAGCUACAUCCAAAUAACCACAUUUGAAACCGAUUGAACCCUGUUUAAAACCAGGAUUUUACAAUGAUAACUGAAAAACCCAAGUUUAAAACCACUGAAACCAUGGUUAAAACCGCUGAAACCAGUUUAAAAUCAGUGAAAACAUGUUUACAACCACUGAAAUCAUGGUUUUUCUUAUUAAUAAAAUAGGUAACUACAAUACGUAGUAAUCUUAAUUAUGCUACUCUAGUUAACCCUAAUUAUUCUAAUCCGAACCAUGUUUAAAACCACUGAAACCAUGUUUAAAACCGAUGAAACCAUAAUUAGAACCACUGAAACAGGAUUUAAAACCACUGAAACCAGGUUUAAAACCAUUGAAACCAGUUUUCAAACCACUAAAACCAUGUUCACAACCAUUGAAACCGUGUUUACAACCACUGGAACCAUAUUUAAAACCACUUAAACCAUGUUAAAACUACUAGAACCAGAUUUAAAACCAUUGAAACUAAUUAAAACAAAACCCAUUAAGAAACCACCAUAUUUCAGUUUAAAAUCCCAAUGACUCCAUAACUAUAUAACCACAUUCCAAACGGGAAAACCUCUAUUCAGAACCGGGAAACCAAGUUUGAAACCAAACAUCAUAUUGUCCCCAGCAGAAUCUUAUUCAAAACCAGACAAAUCGCAUUGAAACCGAAAAAAACCCCGGUUUAUAACCGUAAAUCUAGUUCAGGACCAGGAGUACCCCU
rnacentral:lncRNA from 1 species